CGAUCCUGGCCUGGAUUGAACGCUGGCGAUGCUGACACAUGCAAGUCGAACGGCAGCACGGACUUCGGUCUGGUGGCGAGUGGCGAACGGCGAGUAAUGUAUCGGAACGUGCCUAGUAGCGGGGAUAACUACGCGAAAGCGUAGCUAAUACGCAUACGCUCCUUCGGGGGAAAGCGGGGGACCUUCGGGCCUCGCACUAUUAGAGCGGCCGAGGCCGGGAUUAGCUAGUUGGUGGGGCAACGGCUCACCAAGCGCCACGAUCCGUAGCUGGUUUGAGAGGACGACCAGCCACACUGGGACUGGCAUAUCGCCCAGACUCCUACGGGAGGCAGCAGUGGGGAAUUUUGGACAAUGGGGGAAACCCCUGAUCCAGCCAUCUGGCGUGUGCGAUGAAGGCCUUCGGGUUGUAAAGCACUUUUGGCAGGAAAGAAACGGCAUCGAUAAUACCCCGUGCAACUGACGGUACCCUGCAGAAUAAGCACCGGCUAACUACGUGCCAGCAGCCGCGGUAAUACGUGGAGGCGCAAGUUGCUAAUCGAAUUACAUUGGGCAGUAAAGCGUGCGCAGGCGGUUCGGAAAGAAAGAUGUGAAAUCCCAGAGCUUAACUUUGAACUGCAUUUUUGUUCACGAGCGAGAGUGUGUCAGAGGGAGGUGGAAUUCCGCGUGUAGCAGUGAAAUGCGUAGAUAUGCGGAGGAACACCGAUGGCGCGGAAGGCAGCCUCCUGGGAUAACACUGACGCUCAUGCACGAGCGAGCAAACAGAUUAGAUACCCAGGUUCACGCUCCGCAACGAUGUCAACCAGCUGUUAGCCUUCGGGCCUCGGUAGCGCAGCUAACGCGUGAAGUUGACCGCCUGGGGAGUACGGUCGCAAGAUUAAAACUCAAAGGAAUUGACGGGGACCGCACAAGCGGUGGAUGAUGUGGAUUAAUUCGAUGCAACGCGAAAACCUUACCUACCCUUGACAUGUCUGGAAUCCCGAAGAGAUUUGGGAAAGCCGCAAGAGAAACUCGGAACAGAAAAGCCGGUAUGGCUGUCGUCAGCUCGUGUCGUGAGAUGUUGGGUUAAGUCCUGCAACGAGCGCACCUUGUCAUGUUAGUUGCUACGAAAGGGCACUCUGACGAUCAAGCGGCGAUGAACCGGAGGAAGGUGGGGAUGACGUCAAGUCCUCGCGGCCCUUAUGGGUAGGGCUUCACGACGUCAUACAAUGGUCGGGACAGAGGGUCGCCAACCCGCGAGAGGCUAAUCCCAGAACCCGAUCGUAGUCCGGAUCGCAGUUCGCAACUCGACUGCGCGAAGUCGGAAUCGCCAGGUAAUCGCGGAUCAGCAUGUCGCGGUGAAUACGUUCCCGGGUCUUGUACACACCGCCCGUCACACCAUGGGAGCGGGUUUUACCAGAAGUAGUUAGCCUAACCGGGCGAGGGCGAUUACCGCCGAUGCAGAGAUUCCAGCACAUCAGUGAAGUCGGUGAAUAUGCAA
rnacentral:rRNA from 1 species